AACGAACGCUGGCGGCAUGCCUAACACAUGCAAGUCGAACGAACCCUUCGGGGUUAGUGGCGCACGGGUGCGUAACGCGUGGGGAUCUGCCCAAAGGUUCGGAAUAACUCAGAGAAAUUUGAGCUAAUACCGGAUAAUGUCUUCGGACCAAAGAUUUAUUGCCUUUGGAUGAACCCGCGUAGGAUUAGCUUGUUGGUGGGGUAAAGGCCUACCAAGGCGACGAUCCUUAGCUGGUCUGAGAGGAUGAUCAGCCACACUGGGACUGAGACACGGCCCAGACUCCUACGGGAGGCAGCAGUGGGGAAUAUUGGACAAUGGGCGAAAGCCUGAUCCAGCAAUGUCGCGUGAGUGAUGAAGGCCUUAGGGUUGUAAAGCUCUUUUACCAGGGAUGAUAAUGACAGUACCUGGAGAAUAAGCUCCGGCUAACUCCGUG
rnacentral:rRNA from 1 species